GAUGAAGAACGUAGCAAAAUGCGAUACUUGGUGUGAAUUGCAGAAUCCCGUGAACCAUCGAGUUUUUGAACGCAAGUUGCGCCCGAAGCCUUUUGGCCGAGGGCACGUCUGCCUGGGCGUCACGCAUCGCGUCGCCCCCCACAACUCUCCGUAAAGGGAACUUGUGUUUUGGGGGCGGAUAUUGGUCUCCCGUGCUCAUGGCGUGGUUGGCCGAAAUAGGAGUCCCUCCGGUGGACGCACGAACUAGUGGUGGUCGUAAAAACCCUCGUCUUUUGUUUCGUGCCGUUAGUCGCGAGGGAAACUCUUUAAAAACCCAAAUGUGUCGUCUCUUGACGGCGCUUCGACCGCGACCCCAGGUCAGGCGGGACUACCCGCUGAGUUUAAGCAUAUCGAUAAGCGGAGGA
rnacentral:misc_RNA from 1 species